CUACGGGCUGCUCCAGUGGGGAAUAUUGCACAAUGGGCGCAAGCCUGAUGCAGCCAUGCCGCGUGUAUGAAGAAGGCCUUCGGGUUGUAAAGUACUUUCAGCGGGGAGGAAGGGAGUAAAGUUAAUACCUUUGCUCAUUGACGUUACCCGCAGAAGAAGCACCGGCGAACUCCGUGCCAGCAGCCGCGGUAAUACGGAGGGUGCACGCGUUAAUCGGAAUUACUGGGCGUAAAGCGCACGCAGGCGGUUUGUUAAGUCAGAUGUGAAAUCCCCGGGCUCAACCUGGGAACUGCAUCUGAUACUGGCAAGCUUGAGUCUCGUAGAGGGGGGUAGAAUUCCAGGUGUAGCGGUGAAAUGCGUAGAGAUCUGGAGGAAUACCGGUGGCGAAGGCGGCCCCCUGGACGAAGACUGACGCUCAGGUGCGAAAGCGUGGGGAGCAAACAGGAUUAGAUACCCGCGUAGUC
rnacentral:rRNA from 1 species